CAACUCUCAACAACGGAUAUCUUGGCUCCCGUAUCGAUGAAGAACGCAGCGAAAUGCGAUACGUAGUGUGAAUUGCAGAAUUCCGUGAACCAUCGAAUCUUUGAACGCAAAUUGCGCCCGCGGCUUCGGCCAAAGGCAUGUCUGCCUCAGCGUCGGCUU
rnacentral:rRNA from 2 species